rnacentral:tRNA from 1 species
GUUGAUGUAGCUUAACAAAAUAAAGCAAAGCACUGAAAAUGCUUAGAUGAGCAUUCAAUGCUCCAUAAACA